rnacentral:rRNA from 1 species
GACGCACGCUGGCGGCGCGCUUAACACAUGCAAGUCGAACGACGUGGCGAACGGGUGAGUAAUACGUGGGUACCCCGCCCUCCUUUUUGGGAUAAGCCUUGGAAACGGGGUCUACUACCGAAUAAAGGGGUAUGGGCUCGCGGCGUAUCAGCUUGUUGGUGGGGGGAUGGCCUACCAAGGCGGUGACGGGUAGCCGGCCUGAGAGGGUGACGUGUCACAUUGGGACUGGGAUACGUCCCAGACUGCUACGGGAGGGAGCUGUGGGGGAUAGGUCACAAUGGGCGAAAGCCUGUUGCAGCGACGCCGCGUGGGGGGUGAAGGCUAUCGGGUUGUAAAUCUCUUUAGCUAUAGAAGGUGGAGGUGGAGAAGAAGCGCCGGCGAACUACGUGCCAGCAGCCGCGGUAAUAC